AUACGGAGGAUCCGAGCGUUAUCCGGAUUUAUUGGGUUUAAAGGGUGCGCAGGCGGCCAUUUAAGUCAGCGGUUAAAUCGUGGGGCUCAACCCCAUUCUGCCGUUGAUACUGGGUGGCUUGAUUGCUGGCGAGGUUGGCGGAAUUCGUCGUGGUGCGGGGAAAUGCAUAGAUAUGACGAAGAACACCGAUUGCGUAGGCAGCUGACCAGACCGCAAAUGACGCUCAUGCACGAAAGUGCGGGGAUCGAACAGGAUUAGAUACCCUGGUAGUCCGCACAGUAAACGAUGAAUACUUGUUUUCGGCGAUAUAAUGUCGGAGGCAAAGCGAAAGCGAUAAGUAUUCCACCUGGGGAGUACGCCGGCAACGGUGAAACUCAAAGGAAUUGACGGGG
rnacentral:rRNA from 1 species